CCUGGGUGCUGGGAUUAAAGGCAUGGGUCGCCACCAUCUGGUUUAGAUCUUGUUUAUUUUUUUAAUGCUAGGGGUAGUACCGUUGGUUUCAAAUAUGCUAAGCACACAUUCUCAAUGAAGCUUCACCCUUGGUGCCUGGGGCUUCAUCCCAAAGGAAUCUAUCUGCACAGCAGCACAUGAUGGGUAAAAUCAAUGAACACACAAAGGAGUGUGCACUUUUAUCUCUAUUACCUGUCAUGUGGAGGGAGGGUACUUUUCUAACGUUCUAAAAUUAAGCUGGACAUGGUGCCCUGUGUCUGUAAUCCUAUCCCUAAGGAGGUAGAGGCAGAAGGAUCGGGAAUUCAAGGACAGCCUGGACUGUCUCAAGAAAAAAAGGGGGGGGGCGGGUUUCUAAAAUUAAAGAAUAAAAGAAUUCUAUGUGAGGAUGGGCUCGCUGUCUCAAUCCUCUUUAUUCUUUGCUAGAUCUUGAAGAAAAAGAUAAAAAGGAAAUAUGCGACAAAAUGACAGCUUUUAAAGAAUAAUAGAAAGAAAAGAAAACUCUUCCUUCUGAACAUAAGAGUAGCACAUGCUGUAUGAAAAGGAAUUUGGGGGUCAAAGGUCACCUGUCAUUUGUCUCCCUGAAGGCACUGAUGUCACAUUUCCUGUACAUGCAGAUAGAUUUUGGGGAGGGAGGAGUUUGAGACAGGAUUUAUCUGAGUAACACUAGCUAUCCUGAAACUUACUCUGUAAACCAGGCUCGUCUCUUGGAACUAAAGGCAUGUGUCACCACCACACUUGGCUCAGGUAAAUGUUUUUACAUGAGAUGGAGCUGUUAGAACGAGGGCAGGAGGCAUCUCUGGAGAGCCGUGCUUGCCAUGAGCCUUCUUCCUGCCCCUUUUUCUGAACGUAACCCUGAGCUGGCCUGGUCUGGCCUGGCCUGGCCUGGUUGGUUGCCCUUUGUCCCAAGAGAGGAAAGGUUACUAGUUGGCUAGGUAACCUGGUGUUAAUUGUUAACCUGACAGAAUCUGGAGUCACCGGGGAGCUGGGGGAGUAGGGGUUCUUUUGAUUCUGUUCAUUGGUGUGGGAAGCCCUGAGUUAAUUGUGGGUGGGACCUGAGCUAUGUAAGUAGAAAAGGAGAGUUGAGCAUGAGUGUGCACCUUUGCACGCCCUUCCUGGUCAUGGAUGGGACGUGAUUAGCUCCCUCAGGAUCCUGCCAUGGAUGUCCCUGCUAUGACAGGGUCUAACCUGGAACCGUGAGCCAACGCCAAUCCCUUCUCCCUUAAAACAGUGGAUGAGAAUGGGCAGAGAGCCACCUUCAAUGUCUGCUCUGUCUUGGUCUGUAGAGGCAGUGACCCUGCUCAGGAAAGAGAUCACGGGCCUGGGGUUGUAACUAGGUGCUGAAGUGCUUAAAUGAAGUGCACAGAGGGCCCUGGGUUCACUGCCGCCGCCCCCCUCCCACUGUUGUAGAUACACGGAGGUGGGGAGGGACAGAGAGCAAGAAGAGAGGAGGGAGGAGAGGCUCCUGUUUCUUCAUUCCCAGAAUCCACCACUCUAUGAGUUCCUGGUGGGCAGAAUGGUGUCGGUCAUGUUUGGUCUAACUCCAGUUGAACACGGUUGGGGAGAUUCUCCUGGGGAUAGAGUCCUGACCCCACUGUGGAGUACACUAGGUGUGACAGUAGUUCUAUUCCAUCCCUCCAUGCUGAGUGCCCUUUGUGGAUACCCACAGAGCCACUUGCUUCUUGGGGUCGAGAGCCCAGUAUCCCUAGUGCCUCCUCCCCACUCCCGUCUCCUGUGUUUGUGUCCAUCUAUCCUGUUGCCCUUGCCCUGCACCUGGCCCCAGAAUCCACUUACUUGAUGAAACUCUUAAAACUGAGUCACUGAAGCAAUGCUUUAGGGACUGGGGCUUCACACCAAGAGCCAGCCCCACCAUGCCAGACGUAUGAAUGUACCAUCCUCAGCCUCAGGUCAAGCUCAGAUGCCUGCAGCUCCUGAGAGUCUCCGAACCAGAGCUGCCAAACUGGGUUCUGGAAUGGGCCACGCACAGAAACUGUGAUGUAACACAGUCCACUCCUAACAGGCACAGUGAUGUACAACCCAGCUACUUAGGAGCCCCAAGGCAAGAGGACCGUUUACGUCCAGGAGUUUGAAGCCAGCCUGCACGACAGAACAGCACCCCAGCUCGUUGAACCGCUUAAUUUAGGGCUAAUUAAUUACACAGUAGAGAGGAGUGAACUCUUGAUUGCUACUGUUCCUUCUGGGGUCAGUACGCCAGGAGAAACCAUCCAGAAAAGAAGAGGCCCCAUGAGUUAGGUGGGGGUACAGUGCUAAUAAAAGGGCCACUUCGCCCCACAGUGGGCCUAGGACCUCGUGAACCAGUCAGUCCUGAGGCUUAAUGCCAGUGUGUGCUUCAGAAGGGCUCAGAAGGGAUACCUGGCCCCAGAGAUGCUCACUCAAGGACUCGGGUGACAAAGCACCAACGUGGAUCAUGUGGCUCAUGACCUAGCGCAGGCCCUGUGUCUGGAGUGAGCUGAGGACUGUGUUCUUGAGUAGUUGCUUGUCUUGUUGCUAUGACAAAACUGACAGAAGCAGUUUAGCGGUUGAAGGGUUACCUUUUGCCACGGUUUCUGGGGAUACCAUCUACCUAGUAGGGAUGGUUGGGCAGUAGGAAAGAUAUCAGCCACAUUACGUCCACAGUCAGGAAGCAGAAAGCCAUGGAGGUUCUUGCUUAUCUAGCUUUCUCCCUUUUAUGCAAUCCAAGACCCCAGCCCACAUGAGGGGAAGGGUUCCCACCUAAUCCUACCUAGAAAAUCCUUCACAAAUACGUCCAGAUCUUUGUCCAAGAUGUUCUCAAUUCUGUCAAGCUAGCAACCAACUGAACCAUGGCCCUUUCACUACACGAAGUAAGAACUGGGGGGAAGCAGCUUGGUGGUGUAGUCCUGGCCUAGGAGGCCUGGAUUUUGUCAGCCUUUAUCAGUCUAUGAUUAACCCUGCCCUUCCCAUGAGGACAAGCAGAAGUACCUGCUGUGUGGCCUCCUCCUGAGAGCUGACCGGACCAGCACAAGACAGUACAUUUCUUCUGCUAAUGGGAGCUCAUGUCUAAGAUGUCUUUACCCCUCCCCUCUCUGUCCCUGAGGUUCUGGGAAGUCAGCCCUCUUCUCAGUCUCUAGGCUUUCCUGGUUGUUUCUGAGGCGGAGCGCCCCAGAAACAGGUGGCCACAGGGCAGCUGAGAAAGAGGAAGCAACCAGACCGAUGCAGCCCAAACAGGCUUCUCAGCCAAAGACGGGAAGACCCCUCAGAGCGAGCAGACACCCUGGGAGACAUGGGAUACCUGGAGGUGGGUCUAGGCGGGUGGGCCUACCCAUGGUCUUCUUUCAGUGCCGGCAGUCACCGUGACCCUUCCCCUGCGCAGGAAGUUUGCUACAAAACACAGAUUGUUUGCACACUGUGGACUACUUUGUUUCAUUUUUGCUGUCUUCCUCUCUUUUGGUUUAUUCAUUUCUCUGCUGGGUUUGUCACUUAAGAAGUCAAGGUCACCGGCCUCCCCAUACCCACGAGUGACAAUUUCCAUUUCCAACCCUCCACCGGAAGCAGUGCUGCGCUUGGGUUGGAUGUUACAGGGGCUCUGCAGAGGCCCCAUAGAUCACGAAGGAAAUGAAUCAGCCCAGUUGCUUUUGGGUUUUCUUGUUGCUGCUGCCUGUUUUUCACAAGUCUUUCCUGAGCAGUGCCUUUCAUGUUAAACAUUAACAUCAACUUCCAAGUCCCAAAGAACAUUGCACUGCUCCGUGCACUGCCCAGAGGGUGAAUAAAGAAACCCACGAUGAACGAGUUAAUUCUGAGCUUCUUGGACAUCAUUAUACCAGGAUGCGUGUGGUGCUGCACGUCUUCAAUCUGAGCACUGAGAGGCGGAGGACGGGUGGAGCUCUCAGGUCCUGUGAUGAUCUUUCCAUUGAUGCUAUCAACCAAGGAGGAACACCUUGACUUUCCUUAGGAGUCUGUUGCCCCCCAAUGGUCGCCAGCAGUUCCCGUGGUCCACGGGACAGCCAGCAUGAGGCCAUGUGAAAUCCAGCCUGAGACUGUGCCUUCUUCCUUGGCAUGAGGGUGGUAUCUGCUGUGGCCACUGCUUUGGUGACUAUCUUCCUGCCAAGCGCCUCCAGCUACCUCCUUCCACCUACUUGUGCUUCUUUCUCCUUUCUGUCUCAUGCCAGCUCCCUCAGUGGAAAGACUGAGUGUCCUUAAAGGAUCCUUCCUCAGCCCCUGACACCCAGGAACCUACUCAGCUUAAAAACAGCCUUCUUCAGCCUGCUGCCUGCUGCCUCCUCACCGAGAACUGGAGGCUUCCAACUAGGGUGCCUCCCCCUUAACCCACACAUCCUUAGGCGACUGAGCCUGAGCGGAGUGAAAGGUUCUCUCUGACAUGGUUAGCAGAGGCUCAGAGCUUACAGAAGUUACUGACUAUACAGAAAUGCCAUGAGAACGGCAUGCAGGAAGAACCAAUUACAGGGUGGCCUGGGGGCUCUCUCCCUGUGUGCACCCGGCACACUGAGAGGUGUCAGUGUAGUGGUAGACAGUGAUAUAGAUGAAGAUAUCAGCUGAGAAUGAGGGGAAGAGGAGGCCUACUGAGCACAUAGAGAGACACUGUCUAAAGUUAAAUAAAUAAGUCCUAUUCAUGGUAGUACGCACUUGUAAUUUUAGAGCUGGGAGGUAGAGGCAAGGUCUGUCCUACCCACAGCAGUGAUUUGAAUGGGAAUGGCCCUAAUAGACUCCUGUAUCUGCACACUCAGUCCUCAGCUGGAGAACUGUUUGAGAAGGAUUAGGAGGUGUGGCCUUGGAGGAGGAGCGUAACUAAGGGUGGGCUUUGGAGGUUUCAAAGCCUAAGCCAGGCCCAUUCUUUCUCCCUUUCCCUCUCCCCCUCCCCCUCCCCUUCUCUCUCCCUUUCCCUCUCCUUUCUCUCUCUCCCGACCUACAGAUCAGAUUGUAGCUCUCCUCUACUACUGCUCCAGCACCAUACCUGCCUCCUCGAGGCCAGUGUGCUCCCCACCAUGAUGAUGAUGGACUAACCCUCUGAAAUUGUAAGCAAUGCUCCGAUUAAAUAUUGCCCUUUAUAAGAGUCGCCUGGGACAUGAUGACUCUUCACAAUAAGAGGUCAUCUUGAGGUGAGAUCACCCAUGUGAUGAGUUCAAGUCCAGCCUGAGCUACAUAAGACCCUAUCUCAAAAUGGAAUCAGCUACUCAAACACAUGACAUACGUAGCAAGUGUCUAGAGUCCAGCCCACAGUAAUCUACGAACAUACUCGUUUCCUAAAUUGUAGUGUUUUGGGGAUGAGAACUAUCCCCUAGAGGCUCAAGGAUUUGAACUUGGUCCCCUGUGGUUUUGGGGUCAUUUAAGAUACAAAGCCUCCAAAGUUUUGGAGGACGUAUGUCACUGGGGGUGGACUUGGAUAUUACAUAGGCUCACCCCAUCCGCAACUCACUCUCCUGCUUUGUACUUGUGGUAGAGAUAUGAGCUUUCAAUUUUCUGAUCCGGCCACCAUGCCUACCUGCUGUCAUGCCUCCCAAUGAUGAAUUCUUACUCUCUGGAACAGAAGCCCAAAUAAAUUCUUCUCUCUAUAAA
rnacentral:sRNA from 1 species